CCUACAGGAAAUGUGCUUUAAUCAGUAGCAGAACAUUUGUGUCUAUCUCUAAGCUGGAGAAAAAUGGGGAAAGAUCGAGAUGAAGCAAGAAACGCUAAACCACCUUCAGAAGACUGCAUCACAGUACACCAGAAAUGGCAUCUGGAUUGAACUAAAGCUUGGUCUAUGCUGCCCAGUCCCUUUAAAGCAGAACAUAAAACCUAGGAAUCUGAUUGUUGCAACAUCCUGUAUCCUGAACUUAACCAAUGAACGCAGUUUUCUCCAUCCUGGAGAACAAUUCCUCUCCUAGUAUUGGCUGUCUCUUUAGUUGCUUCCACAGACUACAUCAUCCUUUAAAAAAAACAAACCACUGACGACCUCCCUUUGCAUCCCUGGGCUGCAUAGCCACCAGCUUCCUGAGGUCAGCAUUUUCCUGGGUGAGGAGUCUGGAGCCCUGAACAGUUAGUUGUAGGAUUUGACCAAGGUCACACAGCUGGAAAUACUGGAUUAACCCCAGGCUUCACCUGGGUAAC